rnacentral:rRNA from 1 species
UUUUGUGGCCAUACCAGCCUGUCGAUGCCCGAUCUCAUUAGAUCUUGGACUCUAAGCAGGUCUGGGCCUGGUGAGUAAUUGGAUGGGAGACCAUUGAGAAUUCCAGGUGCCACAGUGG